rnacentral:tRNA from 1 species
GCCUUCGUGGUGUAGUGGUCAGCACGCUUGACGCGUAACCGAGAGGUCCGUGGUUCGAUUCCCGGCGAUGGCU